rnacentral:ncRNA from 1 species
ACAGGCGGUGCUGAAAACCUGAAAUAGAGUAGGCA